CUAAGAAUCUUCCGCAAUGGGCGAAAGCCUGACGGAGCGACGCCGCGUGGACGAUGAAGGUUCUCUGAAUUGUAAAGUCCUUUAGGGCAGGAAGAAUAAGUGCGCGCCAAUACCGCGUACGAUGACGACCCUGCCUAAAUAAGCUCCGGCUAACUACGUGCCAGCAGCCGCGGCAAUACGUAGGGAGUAAGCGUUGUUCGGAAUUACUGGGCGUAAAGGGCAUGUAGGCGGGAAGGUAAGAUGGGGGUGAAAUCCACGGGCUCAACCUGUGAACUGCCUCCAUUACUGCCUUUCUUGAGUACGGGAGAGGAGACUGGAAUUCCCAGUGUAGGAGUGAAAUCUGUAGAUAUUGGGAAGAACACCGGUGGCGAAGGCGAGUCUCUGGCCUGAUACUGACGCUGAGAUGCGAAAGCGUGGGGAGCGAACAGG
rnacentral:rRNA from 1 species